UCGAUCUCAAAUCAAGUA
rnacentral:rRNA from 1 species